GGCGCGGGGGGCGGGUGCCCGCGCCGGCAGGGCCGCUCAGCACGCUCGGCAAUCGAUUAAAGGACAAGUGCCGCCGCCGCCGCCGCCGUGUGCGCUCCGCGCCUCACGCGGACGGACACACGCGCGCGCCGCCCCCUCAGGGCACCGCUGCCGCCAUCCUCCGAGCACCGGGGCUACCCCCUGCGCCCUGCCGUGCCCGCUCCUCCUCUCCCCUUCCCUCAGUAGCGGCAGCCGCUGCCGCCGGGCUGGUGAAGUUGCCGGCGGAGUCAUGAUUCAGCACUUCUAUUUUUAACCCCUCAGCGCGGCCCGGUGCUCUCCCGCCGGCGUUGGCUUGGCGCCAAUUACCCCUACGGUGGGAGCCCUCCGGGGGGGGGGGGGCCUGGGAAGCUUUGAGAGCUGCCGUUAUCUAAUGAACAUUCAAAGUAAAUAUGAGACCACUGAAAAGCAGGAGAAAAUGCAAAAGAUGUCACUGAAAUGCUACAAGCCUUGUUGUCAAGAUUUUUAUGAUGCUUUUCAUCAAAAUGUUGAAAACUGAAAGCUUCCAGCUGGCUCUCCUUACAGUCUAUAGCUGCUGGCAUGGCAAUGGACUGAAGACAGGACAGAAACAAGUCUCCAGCAAAAGCUAUGUGAAAGGAAAACACAUGGAGAAUAACAAAGGAAUAAUAUUAUUUGCCAUAUUCUAAUCCAGUUUCCAACAUCCACCAUCUUUAACAAAUGAAACCAAGGCCACAGUCACUAAUACCAGGGUGCUCCAGGUCAUUUUUUCUCUGUGUAUUUUAACCCCCACACAAACUGAGGUUCACAUUGCUGAGCAUAAGCAGUUCCUAUCAAACAGCCCUUACACAAAAGACACUAUAAUAUUUCUGGCCACUUUAUGUUUGCCAGUAAG